rnacentral:rRNA from 1 species
CAGCCGCCGCGGUAAAACGGAGGGGGCUAGCGUUGUUCGGAAUUACUGGGCGUAAAGCGCACGUAGGCGGCUUGGUAAGUUAGAGGUGAAAGCCCGGAGCUCAACUCCGGAAUUGCCUUUAAGACUGCCGAGCUAGCAGGUGAGAGAGGUAAGUGGAAUUCCGAGUGUAGAGGUGAAAUUCGUAGAUAUUCGGAAGAACACCAGUGGCGAAGGCGGCUUACUGGCUCAUACUGGACGCUGAGGUGCGAAAGCGUGGGGAGCAAACAGGAUUAGAUACCCCUGUAGUCCCUGUCUCUUAUAC